rnacentral:lncRNA from 1 species
AGUGGAAGCUGGGGUGUCGGCGGGCGGCCGCGGCCGGGUCUAGCGGUGCCUGCGGAAGAAGGAGGAGGAGGGCUGGCGAUGAGAAGCAGCAGGGGGAAUCAAGGGCAAGAAGGGACCCAGAGGGGCAGGUGGCUGAGAUGCUGGCGUCCAGGUGACCCGAGGAAUCCUCUGGAGAUACAGGCCCGCGCAUGCGCGUGCUCGAGCGCUGAAGCCCAUUGCCCGCAGGGCGCUGGACUGGCGCCCCGGCCGGCGAGGCUGUCUAGUCCAGGCUCCAGGCCCCGGCUCUGGCCAGGCGCCGCCGCCUCCCGGUGCAGCUGAAAGUCGACGAAGAGGGCGGGGCGGGGGCGGCUUGUGGACUUCCACACUUUUCCUCUCUUCGGGCCAGUCUGGGGAGAGGGUGGCUAGCUGUGGCGGCGGCCAAUUACGUGGCGGACCUGCGGGGCUAAGCUGGCACGUCACUUCCGACUAGUGGAGUUUUUAGCCUUUUAACAUUCAAGGAUUAGGUAAAAGUCUUGCAGUGAAAAACCCGAGGACCCUUACCGCAAGUGUCUUUUGCUCCCAGCUACUGAUACUGGAUUCCACUCGUGAUUCUCCCUUUCUUAGCGCAUUCAUGAUAUAGACAUCAGUCUCUGAGCUGGAGGAGGACAAAGGCAGCGGUCCUGUGAAUUCUAUGCUCUAGCUUGGGUUAAGGGAUUUGGAAUUGCACUUGUUUCAGAGAGCUCCCUCUUUGCCCACUAGCAGGGCAUUAGCUGGUGCUGAAGACAGUGGCUGCUUGGCGAGCCUGGAUCUCCAAGUGACCCCCUCAGCAACUCCUGAUGAACAGGACUGAAGCCAAUAUUAAAGCAAGUCAACCAAAGGUUCUCUGGUGUAGACAAGACAGCAAAAGGACAGACUACCUUGUGGAACCUAGCAUUGUUCUCCUUCUGCAGCACUAAGUAACAUUUGUUCUCCGUUAAGAUCUUUGCAAACCACACACAAGAAUUGCUGGUCAUCCUGCCAAUAGAUGCUGCUCACAGAACCAAAUUUCCUGUGCUGAAUUGUCACUCAUGGGCUUGAGAGUAGGAGACUGGAGACCAAGGUGGCUAGAAUCCAGUUGGGCCUGAUGUCUCCCUGUUGAAAGGGCUCCUUGUGGAAUGAAUAGCACAUGGCUCCUGUGGUGGAUCUGAUAGUGGCAUAGCACCAAGUGAUGCAGGCCUGCCAGGGGCCACAGACACAGAAGAUGCUCCCGGGGUCCCCCAUGUACUCCAGACACACUGCAGGCCACCUCUCCCAGCAGGUUGCCAGUCAUGGGCCCCAUCAUCAUGACUUCUGUCCAAGGUACUGUGUGCAGAAAUGUGAUUGAGAUUCAAGUCAGGGCCUCUCUGCCCUUUUCCCUCCAGAAACAAAACCAAGAUAAUUUAUCCUGAACACGGUGAAAAAAGGAAGGGAGGGAGGAGAAAAAGUCCGGGUCUCACCUGGGAUUCUCUGUCUCCUGCAACAUGAAGGAUUUAGCCUGGGAGGAGGUGGUGAGAACUCUGGGAGAGAAAAAAGAAGGAAAGAAUAGUUUUACCCAUGCUGAAGUUAAUUUAAACCUUCACCUAGAGAAGCAAAAAAAAAAAACCCACACUUUCCCAUUUUGUGCCUCCCUUCCUAGAGUUUUAGCCAAAGGUUUAGCUAAGUAAUUGGUUUUACCAGCGCACUCACUCCUCCUAUCCCAAGUCUGUUUGACUCCCUCCCCAUCAUCCUCCUCACCUCUUUUCAGGCAGGGUGGGGAUAGCAGCAGGAGGAGAUUUUGGGAGCCUGGCAACUCCUGCAAGGACCGCAGGACAGCCCCUCUGUGGGGAUGCGUGGUGCCCCAUCUGCCGCCCUUCUGAAGAAUGCACUGCCUUCACUUUUUACUGUGUUAGAGUCCAUCCAGACUGUUCUAUCCAAAAAAGUUUCUUUUUCCCCCACAGGCAAUCAGGAAAUGAUUCCUUUCCCGACUGCUUCUGUCUAGUGCCUGGGAAUCUUGAGUCAAUCCCUCAGUAAGUCAGUGACUAGGGAAAUCCCUCUCUGAGCCUCCCAGUUCAUGUUGCUUAGGGAACCUGAUAUUUUCGUGAAACCUGCCUACACAUGGGCAGCCCAACAGCAGAACAAAUGGUGGUGACCAAAGUGAACAAAGAAGUAUAGUUGUGCCAGCUUCGUAGUUGCCCAUGUGGACAAGUCAGCAGGAUCAGGACACGAGGAAGAGUAAAUGUGAGACAGUCAAUGUGACUUCUGCGAUAAACAGAUUUUUAAACCCCGAAAUUUUGCAAAAUUUUGGUGAAACCUGAACUUUCUUCGUUGCAUAUACUGGCACUAUCUGUACCAUCAUACAACUGUCUCACAUUAAAGCUAUUUUUCUUGGGCACUGAUGAGUAAGGUUGGUAUAAGUUCCUCAGAUCAACAAAAACCCAUUUUCCUGUAAGUCUUACAUUUAGUAUUUAAGGAACUAAAACUUAAAUACAUUUUGUGAAAUGGUUGACACUUCACUGAUAAUGAUUUAUUGCUUGGAUUAAUAAAUUUUCCAAAAGUUGUCUUAUGU